rnacentral:rRNA from 1 species
UACGUAGGGUGCAAGCGUUAAUCGGAAUUACUGGGCGUAAAGCGUGCGCAGGCGGCUAUGCAAGACAGAUGUGAAAUCCCCGGGCUCAACCUGGGAACUGCAUUUGUGACUGCAUAGCUAGAGUAUGGGAGAGGGAAGUGGAAUUUCAGGUGUAGCGGUGAAAUGCGUAGAUAUCUGAAGGAACAUCAGUGGCGAAAGCGACUUCCUGGACCAAUACUGACGCUCAUGUGCGAAAGCGUGGGGAGCAAACAGG